UACGUAGGGGGCAAGCGUUGUCCGGAUUUAUUGGGUUUAAAGGGUGCGUAGGCGGUGUCCUAAGUCAGUUGUGAAAUACGGCAGCUUAACUGUCGAGGUGCAAUUGAUACUGGGACACUUGAGUACUGAUGAGGUAUGCGGAAUGGACGGUGUAGCGGUGAAAUGCUUAGAUAUCGUCCAGAACACCGAUAGCGAAGGCAGCAUACUAAGGAGUAACUGACGCUGAGGCACGAAAGUGUGGGGAUCAAACAGG
rnacentral:rRNA from 1 species